CCAUUUGUAUCACCAAAUGACCCUACGGCUCUGAAUAAAGAAGCGAGCCUGACAAUGUAACAAAGUCUAUCUGAUGGACGGGAACUGAAUCGCGAGAGGAAGCUCCUCCUGAUAACCACAUAAAUCGGGUAAGUGC
rnacentral:ncRNA from 1 species